AGUACUGUUCAUAGCCAGCGGCACAGAGCAGUAGGUGACUUGGAGUUUUCAUUUGCAAGUGUUCUCUCAGAGACAACUACCAGCUGAUUGCAAUAUUGAUGCGGGUAGUGUGAUUCUGGAAUUUCACCAGCACUGCUCAUAGAGCAGGGCUGCUGUGGAAGACUUGCUGUUGGAAAGGCUCUGCAAGCCAAGCUUCCCUCUGAAGCUCAUGCAGAAAGCCACGUCUCAAGACUCCCAGCCACAAACUGAUGAAGGUGACCAGAAACACACCAUAACCAUUGCAGCUGGUCAAAGAAUCUGUAAUAGGCCCGCAAGGAGCUCAACUGAGCAAUUCCCUCAGAAGCAAAGAGGGGAGGAGUAUGUUCUCACUGUGCAGCGGAAGACGGAUGCAGUCUACGGAGGCAAGUGAAGUGCUGCUUAUUAGAUCAAAGCUAAGCAUCUCUGUUCGACAUACUUCAAACAGGAACUGAAGAUGGUGGUUCUCCAAGUGGUUUUUAUUGGGUUUCCUGUGUUCAGUUUAGGGAAAACAGACAACAGGAGUUGUUUAAAAUAAAGCUGUAAUUUACUAUCCUAACAUGCUGAGAAGCAAUUAGAUUCAGGCUAAUUACUGUAAAUAGUUUUUAUAAUUACUUGUAAAACAUUCUAAUACCUGUACAUCUGCUAAAGUCAGUCAAGGCCUGUAGCAGUAUUUUUUUUUAAUAAGAGAAGGCUUAAUGUUAUUACUCAAGGGCUAAACUGUUUUCUUGAAAUCUUCAGAAAGCAGUAGCUAUGCUGUAGAAACUACUGCUAGAAAGCAUCUAUUAGGGCAUGCAUCCCCUUCACAAGACUGUGUGUAUCAGUAAACUGAAGAGUUGUCUAGGCUAGUUUGUAUUUCACAACUAUCUCUACUACUACCUGGAAAGACUGUUCCAGAACCUAAAAAGAUCUUUGUCAAAAGAAGAAUCAAAUAAUUUUCAGCUGAAUCCUGAUUUUCUUAAGCUUUCUCCUAUUAUUAAGGCUUUUCUCUCUACGUGAAGUGUACAGAAAAAAAUCUCUCCCUUAUGUCCUUCUACCACAACCAUUAUUUUUCAGUUCAGCAUUGGUCACUUUGGCCUGGCCCUUCACACUUUCACAGGCACACAAACCAGUUGGAGUUCCACCAUCUCUGGGUCCUCACAGUCACAGCUGUUUUUUCCUCUUCCCACAGGUCUACCAACUCUUGUUCUGAAUUUGACCCAAUGGUCUCCAGUUUGGACAACUAUUUCUGCACUGCUGAUGAGUGCUCAGACAAUCCUAGUCUGUUGUUUGGGUUUUGGUUCACCUGAGAAGGUCUCCUGAUGUCUGGGGCAAUUCCAAGAAGCACUCAUGGAUAGUUUACAUUGGUUUAUUUAAGCAUACAGUAAUGCAUUGGCAACUUUUUUCAACAAAGGGUGAUUUCCAUACAUGUACAAGUCUUUCUCACACAAAAUAUACAUCUUACCUGUCAAAUAACAAAACACAAAUAUAGGAAUGUGUUGUUGGGUUGUCCUACCAUUUAUGAGCUUCAUUUUAGCUCUAAUCUUACUACACAGAGACAAUUGAUUGUAAUCCUGCACAUAGAAUGGCAUGGGACCUGAUGACCAUGAGGUUGAGAGCAAAUCUGUAUACUGGAAUGUGAGGGGGAAGAGGAACUAGAAGUCCAUUUUUUCACAUGUUAUUACCCUUCUCCUGCAGUGGAAGGAUAUUUCCUUGCACACCUUUACCUUUUUAGCUUGUUGUAACAUAGAGCAGCUUCACACAGGUCUUGCACAGUUGAUGAUAGAAAUGCUGCCGACCUCUUCUGCAGUUGAUAGAAAAGCUUGUCAGAAGCCAAGGUGAUGGCCACAAGCUGCUCUGAUCACAUUCCACAGCUCUCAGACUGUCCUGUUGGCCUCGUAUAUCUUACCAAUGGUAUCACUUCAGGAAUGUUUAUGAACAGAUAGACUUUGGACCUCCAAGUGGAUAUUAAGCUACUACAGCAAUAGAGGUGUACCUCCAGAAGGUAAGUGAAGAAAGAAGAAGAAAGCAAAGCAUUAGUAAAAAAAAAUUAAUUUUUUUUUUUUAAGAAGUGUUGAAGUGGUUUCAUAGAAAAACCUCAUUUCUUACUGUUUUCCCUUUGAAAUACUCCUGGUUUAAAAUCCAGAUACACAAAACCAGUCCAUUUUUUCAAAACUGACAUAUGGCAAAAAGUGGUAGCAGUAAAUAAAAGCACAUAAAGCUAAACUGCACCGUUCUAAAUGUUAGUAAAAAUGACAAAAUAAAAUAGUAGCUAUAUAAACUACGCACAGGUGUGUAACAUAUUACAAGCAAAAAACAUAGCUCGCAAUUAUAAACCUACACUAUUUAUUUCACUUGUCUGUAAUUACAUUUUAUACAUGUUUGUUUAGUAAUAUCAAUCCAAGACAUCAUUUUGAGGAUAUAAUUAACUGCAUGUUAGAACAGAAUGUGUUUGAUUGGUUUGUGUUGCACCAGAGAAAAGGCUUUGUU